UAAGACAGAGGGUGCAAACGUUGUUCGGAAUUACUGGGCGUAAAGCGUGUGUAGGCGGCUAUGUAAGUCGGAUGUGAAAGCCCCGGGCUCAACCCGGGAAGUGCACUCGAUACUGCGUAGCUUGAGUCUCGGAGAGGUUGGUGGAAUUCUCGGUGUAGAGGUGAAAUUCGUAGAUAUCGAGAGGAACACCGGUGGCGAAGGCGGCCAACUGGACGAAGACUGACGCUGAGACACGAAAGCGUGGGGAGCAAACAGGAUUAGAUACCCUGGUAGUCCACGCCGUAAACGAUGGGUGCUAGGUGUCAUGGGCAUUGACUCCCAUGGUGCCGUAGCCAACGCAUUAAGCACCCCGCCUGGGAAGUACGGCCGCAAGGCUA
rnacentral:rRNA from 1 species